rnacentral:tRNA from 1 species
CGGUCUGGACGGGACUCGAACCCGCGACCCCCUGCGUGACAGGCAGGUAUUCUAACCAGCUGAACUACCAGACC